UUUCAUUCUCACAAAGUGCCUAGGAGCACGUGCUAGAGCUGGCUCUUCACGAAGAGCCCGCUUACCUUCUCUCUCCUCUUCUCUUUACUCCAACUAAGCAAAAAUAUACUAGUUUAUUUCAUAUAGCCUGCUGACUCAUCUCUAUUAUAUUUGCUCUAAGCUUCAGGCUUCGAUAGCAUGGUAGACCCCGCUGGUCAUUGGGAAGACGCGGGGGACGGCGUGCCGGUUUCAAACUUGGUGUUCCGCGUGUCAAUUGUGUGGGGCAUUGCGGUCUUCCUGGCCUUCCGUGGCUCGCUUCGCCUGCUCGCCAGGGGAGAAAGGGAGGCGGUUCCCUUUUUUUGCGCCUAGAGAGGGGAGGCGGUUUCAGGGGUAGAGAAAGCUAUCGACGCAUCCAUCGCCUCCCCCAAUCCAACGCCUUGCUUCACCGCAUGUCCCUCGACCCACUCUUGAGGCUCACCGGCGUCGACACCGGCUGCAGACUGCUCCCAGCUUGUCGUCCAUCUCUCUGAUCACUUCUACCAUCUUCACGUAAGUCUUGCAAGCUCUCUCUCUCUGUGGAACAUCAGGCCGCUUCGGGGAUGGGGCAGGAGAACGAGGUUCGAUCUAGCCCGGUGCCCAUAUGUGUUUGAGUCGAGGUGGAAGGACAAUGAUGUUACAUGGCACUUUAUUAACCUGGAAUACCGACCCGUGUUACGGUGGCGUCUCUGUCUCCCAUUCGCCUGCUCCUUCCGUCAGGUUCCAAGGUUUCUCUGUCCUUGAUGGUCCGAUAAUUAUUAUUUUGCAGAUCCUGACUAGGAGAUCAUCUAGAGGGGCAAGUAGCAGAGUUCCAAUCUUAUGAGAUGGAGGAGAUGCAUAUCAAAGAGAAGAUUGUCCAAUCCAGAUUUGCUUCCUUCACUAACUGCAGAUAUGUAAAUAAUACCAAUUAGUUGAAAUUCACAUUGAUGUGCAGAUUGAUUUUA